AUGGGCUUAGAACCACCAAAAAUGGAUGAAACCCACCAAAACUUGGCUUGAACCCACCCAAACUUGGCCUAAACCCACCCAAAAUUGCUCCAAACCCAACAGAAUGGUCUUGAAACCACCCAAAAUUGGCUUAAAACCACCAAAAAUGGCUCUAAACCCAACAGAAAUUCUUGAAACCAUCAAAAAUUGCCUUGAAACCCCCAAAAAUGGAUGAAACCCACCAAAACUUGGCUUGAACCCACCAAAACUUGGCCUAAACCCAUCCAAAAUUGCUCUAAACCCAACAGAAAGGUCUUGAACCCACCCAAAAUAGGCUUAAAACCACCAAAAAUGGCUCUAAACCCAACAGAACGGUCUUGAAACCACCAAAAAUUGGUUUGAAACCACCAAAAAUGGAUGAAACCCAAGAGAAAGGUCUUGAAACCACCAAAAAUUGGUUUGAAACCACCAAAAAUCGGUGUAAACCCAACAGAAAGGUCUUGAAACCACCAAAAAUCGCCUUGAACCCACCCAAACUUGGCCUAAAGCCACCCAAAAUCGCUCCAAACCCAACAGAAAGGUCCUGAACCCACCCAAAAUUGGCUUAAAACCACCAAAAAUGGAUGAAACCCAAGAGAAAGGUCUUGAAACCACCAAAAAUUGGUUUGAAACCACCAAAAAUCGGUGUAAACCCAACAGAAAGGUCUUGAACCCACCAAAAAUUGGCUUAAAACCACCAAAAAUGGCUCUAAACCCAACAGAAA